rnacentral:rRNA from 1 species
UACGGAGGGUGCGAGCGUUGUCCGGAAUCACCGGGCGUAAAGGGCGCGUAGGCGGCUUGGGAAGUCUGUGGUGAAAGCUCGUGGCUCAACUGCGAGUCGGCCAUAGAUACUCCUAAGCUCGAGUCGACUAGAGGCAGAUGGAAUUCCGGGUGUAGCGGUGGAAUGCGUAGAGAUCCGGAAGAACACCGGUGGCGAAGGCGGUCUGCUGGGGUCGAACUGACGCUGAGGCGCGACAGCGUGGGGAGCAAACAGG